UCCAAGUCGGCGUCGGGGGUCGGCGCCGCGGCAGGGGAGUUCGAGGGCGAUGUGGCGGCCUCCGGAGAGAGAGCCUUCGCUGGGGCGUGGGCGGAGGCGGGGGAUGUGGCCGGGGAAUGGGCGGCGGCGGGAACGGUGGCCGGGGCGGUGGAGGUGGAGGUGGAAGGGGCGGUGGCGGAGGCGGGGGAUUUCGCCGGAGACUGGGCCGAUUCCGGUUGCUCGGGCUUGGAGCUGGGCCCAGGAGCGGGUGCCUCGGCGGCUGCGGUGAGGCCGGCCGCAGCCAGGAAGAGGACGACCAACACGGUGGCGCGAUACAUUUUCCGGCGAAAUCGAGGGACUAGGAGGAGGAAGAGGAAAAUUAAGGAUUG
rnacentral:lncRNA from 1 species